rnacentral:lncRNA from 1 species
GUUACCCUAGCCCGCUCACUUCUCCCAACCGAAUUGAUCAUCAGCAUUUGCUCUGUACCGUCUCCCCUAAAUUGAUCGUCGCUAAAUCGAUCUCUCGUUUGCAACUCUGUUGGAAAUCAUCCUCUUCGCUCUUUAAUCAUCAUCGUAAGUACAGGUUGUCUUGACCUUGAAUCGUUAUAGCUGAGCGGAGUUUUACUUUUGGCUACUAAAACAAAUCCCAAUUGUUCCCGUGUUCCACCAAUUGUUUAGGCCUUUUGAAACUGCUCCAGCUAGCUCAAUAUCCAUGGAGGUAGCAUACGAAAAUGGGAACAUGUUGGAGCCUAGUGUGAGAGCCUAUGUGAAGUUGUGGAUGAGGCUCUAAUAUAAUUACAUUACACCAAACAACAUGUUUUAGAGAUUUUUAUUUGUUCUAUUGACUUGUUUUGUAUUCAUGUAUUGUAGCAUACUAUGUUUGGAUUUAUAUUUGUAUU